rfam:Brassica napus, WGS project CCCW01000000 data, contig: 10791
UUGGAGGUGAUGACAAUUUCCCCAGAUGAUCGAAUCUGAUUAUACUGAGCGAAUAGAAUUUUCCUCUCAUCAGAGGAAAGUCAAGCCAAUUAGUCUGAUCCUU